GCAUUUAACAUUGAGGCCUCGAGAAGUUGCUGUGCUCUGCCGGUGCUCGUUCAGGUCCUUCCCUCCCAAAUCCAACUGCUAGACACCACGCCGUGCUAGCUCCUCUACGCCGUCCCCCGUUUCCGGCGAGGAGCAUCGUCUGGGCUCCUGUUCGUGUGAUAGUGCGAGGAAGUCCCACUUCCAGUUGGAAGCUGCUACUCCCCGUUGCUUCUCAGACCAGAAUGGGUAGCUGAGGUACUAGCGUUUUUAUCCGGUGCACCAAGUAUUUCCUUAGGAGGAUACGCUGACUUUCAGAUGCUGCACCAAAAAGGUAUCCAGUUCAGCACUUUCAUCCUUUUGGCGUGCUUUUUAAUGUCCCCGCCUAGAUUGUAUAGCAUCGGAAAUUCAGAAUGCUGCGGUUUGGUGUGCUUUUUGGAGUUGAUGUUACUGUUAUGUGACAAUCUGCUGGUGCCACUACGUAAGAAAUAACGUUCUAUAUACAGAUAUACUUUCCAUGCUCCUUCCAUGUUCUAUUAUUGCUUUAAAACGAUCUUUUAUUUUUGCUCUGUUGGAUGUGUUGGCUGGGUGCGUGUUAUGCAGAGGCCAGGUAUUUUUUCAAUGCGGUUGUAUCACCUUGAUACACCAAUUGAAUAAAAUAUCCUUUAUCAGAAAGAAAUGCUCAACAUAGCCUAUAUUUGUGACGCCUGCUUCUCACCUGCUCCAAACGCCAGGUUAUGGUGCCCAUCCCCGGUCAUUGUGCAGUCUUACAUGGCAGUGGGGAGUAAUGGAAAGCUGGGAGAUAGAUGAGGAGUAAAUUUCCUAACGAGUAGACCCAAAUAAGAUCUGGAGAAGAACAAUGGAUAGCCGUAAUUCAUGGCCGGAAGUAAAGCGCAUCAAUAACUAUGCCGCGUUUUCGGGGUGCCUGGCGAUGGUAAUCAGAGGAUUGGGCUAUCUAGUGGUUACCUGGUCCACUGUCGUUCUUCUCGGUGGCUUCGUCUCUCUACUCCAGAAGAAGGAUUUUUUUGCUCUCACAAUAAUUACAUUCAUUCAGAUAGCCGGGGUGGUCGAUAACCUUGCUGGUGACAAGUGGAACUCAGCUGCAAGGUCAGCAUCGGGACUGAAUGCGGUGGCCGCGGUUUUUGCGCGGAACCGGCAGGAUAGUGCAACGCCAUCAGCAAAUAUCCUGAGACUGGUAGUGAGUGUUAAACAAAUUCUAGGAUGGAUCGUAUCGCUUCUCCAACAAGCGGUGUACAUAGCUCUGUUUUUGUUCGGUGCUUUCUAUGUCAUACUUUGGGGGUUGUACUCGGCCGCCGGGAUUUCCCUGUUGCGUCUAAAACGGCACGAUUACGGGGACGCGGAUGGAGAUCCUAGCAAAGCAAACAUGAAUUUGGCCCUUGACGUCUUGUACAAAAUCGUCGUGGUCCAAUGUGCAAUCUUGCUCUAUAGAAGAAUAAUCAAUGCUCUUGUGGAGAAAAGGUUAGUAACGGAAGUGGCUGAAGCAUACGGCUUCAAAGGUCCUACUGUCACAUUAGUUGAGGAUUACAUGAAAGAAACCCGGAGGGGAUGUGCGAAGAACCCUUCCUUCGCCAAAGGAAGGAACCUGGUGACAUAUGCUGUGGACCUGAUGGGGCCUGAUAAGUCGCCUGCAGACUACGCCUCCGGGUUAACCAUCCUCAGCACAAUCUUUGGGCCACUGUGCCGGGUGAAAGUGAAACCAAGCAAGUUUCAGGAGCAGCGCGGCAUAAUACGAUAUCUGAUCUUGUACGCACCCUCCAGCCACAUCUUCCGUCUCCUUUUGGUCCUAUCGAAUCCGAGAAGCAGCCCAUAUGGUAGUGAGAGGCCAGAAACUCAGAUAAUUACCUCUCAACUAAGAGAGACAAGGAAGCACGCUGCAAACAUGGUGUUGCACCUGGCCGACGGGGUCAGUGUGGAGCAGCUUCCCCAAGUGAUCCAGUGCAUAUCCUCACUAAUCAGCACAUUUAAAGAACAUCAACGAUUUUUUUUUCACACACAGUGAUUAUGCCAAGGAGGAGGAGGACUACCUGGAGCGGUUGUGGGAAUGUCUGCACGUUCUUUACGUGCUUGCAGCCAACGAGAACAACUGUAGACUCAUCAUCCACACUCGAGGUCUGCUCACCAAGAUCAUGACACCUCUAGCCUCCAACCUUUACCACCAAACUGAUCAUGAUACUUGGGAAAACGUACUAAAGGAAUCACUGAAAGUGAUAAACCGGCUCACAGCUACUUAUGGUCAUGGGGAAGGGGAAACAGGCAGCAAGCUGGUUCGGGAAAUCGAAACCAACCUGGAAAUGGAGGCAGUGGAAACCAUGAUGAGUGUUCUCAGGUGUGACAAAUGUUCUCAAAAGAUGGGAACAUUGACCAUGGGGAUUCUCACCAAUCUACACGUGCAGAUGCAGACCGCAGACAAAGUAUAUUUAAUCGAGAUGCUCGUACACAUGUACACUACUGCCAACUCCAGAACAUCAGCACUUGAAGCACUGGCGAAACUAUGUUUCCAGGACGGGAGUAAUGCCACGAUUAUCUUACAAGUAAAUGGUUCUGCAGUUUCCUCUUUCACAGAGGACCUUAAAGCUUUAAACUAUGGGUACCAUAGUGUAGCAGAAAUUCUACAGCAUGCAUGUCUUCAUUACACCAAUGAUGAUGAAUGCCUAAGGAUACUCAAGGAAUCCAUGACCGACGUAAUUCCGAAGGUGCUCAACAAAAUACUUACAACAGGUGCUUUGCAAAGUAAGGUCAAGAACAGGAGACUUCAAACAAAACGGAAAACAGAGACAUCUCUAUUAUCCCUUUGUGUGACAGUACACGAGACACUCAUCAGCGCUGAUCAGCAUUUGGCUCUUCAGUUUGAUGGCGCAAUCGGUGAACUUAGCCUUCCAGUGAAGCUCAGGGAGAUGGUUGAAAGAAACAGUAAACCCACGGCCAGUUGCCUGAAAAUACAUAAGCUUACCAGCAGGAUGGUCAUAUCAAUGAUGAAAUGCAGAGGUAGCAGAUACCCGAAACCAGAUUUGGAGAGCUUGGUGGAAGCACUGUUGAAGGCUUGUAGCAGAAACAUGUAUUUUAUUGACAGAUCCAUGGAUUUCGCAAGAGGUGACAACGCAGCAAAACCAAGCACUACCAGAAUAACUGCUUGCGCCGACGGCCUCAUCUAUGCCGACGGGGGGCCGUCGGCAUAGAUGGACCUAUGCCGACGGCCAAAGACAGGCCGUAGGCGUAGAAAAGCCGUCGGCGUACAUCCAUCUAUGCCGACGGGGCCGUCAGCAUAGACGGGGCCGUCGGGACCGCUUGAGAUACGCCUACGGGGACCGUCGGCAUAGCCCGGGCCCACCUACCUGGUCAGCGCUGACCGUUUGACGGCGUUGAAGCUACGCCGACGGGAGGUAACGGCGGCCGUCGGCAUAUCUAUGGCAGAGGUAUGCCUACAGCAAGGCCGUCGGCAUAGACCGGGCCCAUGCCCCUCUGCCACGUCAUCGAUCCGUGUGCGCAGCUCUUGCCGUCGGCAUAUGUUUAUCUAGUUUUAUUUUUAAUUUUGCUUUAUACUAUCUAUGGUGAAGGUAUGCCUACGGCAUAGCCGUCGGCAUAGGCCCCUCUGCCACGUCAUCGAUCCGUGUGCCAUGCCACGUCAUCGAUCCGUGGGACUGCACCUCCGUGUGUGCACAGAUGCCGUCGGCAUACAUUUAUUUUACUUUAUUUUUUUAUUUUUACUUUAUUUUGUUAUUUUUACUUUAUUUUAGUUUUUGUUUUUGCAUAAGAUAAUUUUGCCUUAUCUAAAAAAACAUACCCCGAUGGUAUAUCGAUUGCCCCCCGUUACGAACGUCGCUAUCGCUCUGCCACGAAGGGGGGAAACGGUCGACACGGAUGGAAUUCUGGUUGGUGGGGGGAUUCGGGGUGUAGCUAUGUCACCGAAACAUCACACGGGUCCCCAUGCAUAUGUGAAAGUGUUCAGGCAUGAGUAGACGCCCGUCUUGGGGCUCCGCGGUGUGCCCCCCUGCACGUAAGGCAGUGCCGCCGUCACUUGGAGGGGGCCAAACCCCGGAGACGC